GGGGAUUUACAUUUUUCUAAUAUGUGGAGACUUUUAUUUUGAUGUUUGUCGUGGGCGCCGCCAUUUUGUAGGUUUUGACGAGUUGCGCGGAGAGAGCGAGAGAGCGGAGAAGAGCAGCGGUGAGCUGAAAUUGAAUGUUGAUCUCGGGUAGUCAAUCGCGGGAAAAAUCCCGUUUAGACUCGCGACAUAUAUAAGAGCUGCAUGACGUUGCUUCUGAGUCUUCGUGUAUAUGAACAAGUUUAACGAAGUAAGCGUUAAAAUGAGUUUUCUGCCGUGUUCAUGCAUGAAGCUGGACAAAAGACCUGUUAGUUUCAUUAAGUCUCAGUCACGUAGGAGUUAAACAGUCUUGUGUUUUCUUUGCUUCAAACAGUUUUUGUUUCAUUUGUUCAAACGAACUUGAAACAGUGAUUGCUGUUACAGAUCGUGUGAAUUAAGGUUCGCUGAGUCAUCGGAUAGGGUCGUGCGUUGUUUGUCUUCUCAUUGUGCCUCCAUCAGCUGGGAUUGCGGCCUCGUUGAAUCAAGCUGCCGUCGUCAGGAUCGCGAGGACAAUCGCUGAGGGUUAGUGAGUGAAGAAACAGUACCCUGCCAUCCAUUGGACAUCUUUCAGCACCUCAUUCAUGAACCAAGAGUGGUGAUAAAAAUUAUUUUCCUCUUUUCCUUCUGAAAACUGGUAAGCAAACUGCCAUUUUCUGUAAGUGAGUCAUCUGAACUGUGAAAUCAUACAGAUAUUUUGAUGGAACUGUGAUCAGUGAAUUUUCCUGCGAAGGGAUUCAUAGUCUUUCUUUUGUGUACAUAACUGAACUUUUUGGGACUGUGAACUCCAUAUAUGGAUAGAGUAUAACUUUUCACCUUUUUUUUUCCUGGAUUUUUGAAUUGGAUCUUGGAUUUUUGAGCCGGAUUGAAGUGAACUUCAAAGUGUACUUUGUUUGAAAGGUUGAGUUAACUGUGAAACGUUUUGUUUAAGGUUACUUACAAUAAGUGACACUGAUUCUUACUUUCCUCAGAUUGAACUGUAACUGACACAAAUCUGUUGAUUUUUCAUCUCUAUUAUUUUCCACAUUUCUUUUAUUUCACUUUGAUUUGUUUACACUUGAAAUUGUUUUGUAAACUUUGUGAAAACAAGGAAAACGUAAUCAUUUAAAAUCUUGCAGUACAAAUAAAUGUAAAAUUUGUUUGUUAACUGAAAA